rnacentral:rRNA from 1 species
UACAGAGGUCUCAAGCGUUGUUCGGAUUCAUUGGGCGUAAAGGGUGCGUAGGUGGCGCCGUAAGUCGGGGUGUGAAAUUUCGGAGCUUAACUCCGAAACUGCAUUCGAUACUGCGGUGCUUGAGGACUGGAGAGGAGACUGGAAUUCAUGGUGUAGCAGUGAAAUGCGUAGAGAUGUGGAGGAACACGAUGACGGAGCACCCUGGGUCAAGUUGAUCG